AAAUUGAAGAGUUUGAUCAUGGCUCAGAUUGAACGCUGGCGGCAGGCCUAACACAUGCAAGUCGAGCGGUAGCACAGAGAGCUUGCUCUCGGGUGACGAGCGGCGGACGGGUGAGUAAUGUCUGGGAAACUGCCUGAUGGAGGGGGAUAACUACUGGAAACGGUAGCUAAUACCGCAUAAUGUCGCAAGACCAAAGUGGGGGACCUUCGGGCCUCAUGCCAUCAGAUGUGCCCAGAUGGGAUUAGCUAGUAGGUGGGGUAACGGCUCACCUAGGCGACGAUCCCUAGCUGGUCUGAGAGGAUGACCAGCCACACUGGAACUGAGACACGGUCCAGACUCCUACGGGAGGCAGCAGUGGGGAAUAUUGCACAAUGGGCGCAAGCCUGAUGCAGCCAUGCCGCGUGUGUGAAGAAGGCCUUCGGGUUGUAAAGCACUUUCAGCGGGGAGGAAGGCGUUAAGGUUAAUAACCUUGGCGAUUGACGUUACCCGCAGAAGAAGCACCGGCUAACUCCGUGCCAGCAGCCGCGGUAAUACGGAGGGUGCAAGCGUUAAUCGGAAUUACUGGGCGUAAAGCGCACGCAGGCGGUCUGUCAAGUCGGAUGUGAAAUCCCCGGGCUCAACCUGGGAACUGCAUUCGAAACUGGCAGGCUAGAGUCUUGUAGAGGGGGGUAGAAUUCCAGGUGUAGCGGUGAAAUGCGUAGAGAUCUGGAGGAAUACCGGUGGCGAAGGCGGCCCCCUGGACAAAGACUGACGCUCAGGUGCGAAAGCGUGGGGAGCAAACAGGAUUAGAUACCCUGGUAGUCCACGCCGUAAACGAUGUCGAUUUGGAGGUUGUGCCCUUGAGGCGUGGCUUCCGGAGCUAACGCGUUAAAUCGACCGCCUGGGGAGUACGGCCGCAAGGUUAAAACUCAAAUGAAUUGACGGGGGCCCGCACAAGCGGUGGAGCAUGUGGUUUAAUUCGAUGCAACGCGAAGAACCUUACCUGGUCUUGACAUCCACAGAACUUUCCAGAGAUGGAUUGGUGCCUUCGGGAACUGUGAGACAGGUGCUGCAUGGCUGUCGUCAGCUCGUGUUGUGAAAUGUUGGGUUAAGUCCCGCAACGAGCGCAACCCUUAUCCUUUGUUGCCAGCGGUUCGGCCGGGAACUCAAAGGAGACUGCCAGUGAUAAACUGGAGGAAGGUGGGGAUGACGUCAAGUCAUCAUGGCCCUUACGACCAGGGCUACACACGUGCUACAAUGGCAUAUACAAAGAGAAGCGACCUCGCGAGAGCAAGCGGACCUCAUAAAGUAUGUCGUAGUCCGGAUUGGAGUCUGCAACUCGACUCCAUGAAGUCGGAAUCGCUAGUAAUCGUAGAUCAGAAUGCUACGGUGAAUACGUUCCCGGGCCUUGUACACACCGCCCGUCACACCAUGGGAGUGGGUUGCAAAAGAAGUAGGUAGCUUAACCUUCGGGAGGGCGCUUACCACUUUGUGAUUCAUGACUGGGGUGAAGUCGUAACAAGGUAACCGUAGGGGAACCUGCGGUUGGAUCACCUCCUUACCUUAAAGAA
rnacentral:rRNA from 3 species